AGAACCACGCAGAACCACGCAGACCCAGCUUCACCUCAGCGUCCUCCACCCACGCAGAACCAGGCAGAACCACAGACGACCCAGCUUCGCCUCAGUGUCCUCCACCCACGCAGAACCAGGCAGAACCAGGCAGAACCACGCAGACCCAGCUUCACCUCAGCGUCCUUCACCCACGCAGAACCAGGCAGAACCACAGACGACCCAGCUUCGCCUCAGCGUCCUCCACCCACGCAGAACCAGGCAGAACCAGGCAGAACCACGCAGACCCAGCUUCACCUCAGCGUCCUUCACCCACGCAGAACCAGGCAGAACCAGGCAGAACCAGCUUCACUUCAGCGUCCUCCACCCACGCAGAACCCCAUAGAACCAAGCAGACCCAGCUUCACCUCAGCGUCCUCCACCCACGCAGAACCAGGCAGAACCACAGACGACCCAGCUUCGCCUCAGUGUCCUCCACCCACGCAGAACCAGGCAGAACCAGGCAGAACCACGCAGACCCAGCUUCACCUCAGCGUCCUCCACCCACGCAGAACCAGGCAGAACCACAGACGACCCAGCUUCGCCUCAGUGUCCUCCACCCACACAGAACCAGGCAGAACCAGGCAGAACCACGCAGACCCAGCUUCACCUCAGCGUCCUUCACCCACGCAGAACCAGGCAGAACCACAGACGACCCAGCUUCGCCUCAGCGUCCUCCACCCACGCAGAACCAGGCAGAACCACGCAGACCCAGCUUCACCUCAGCGUCCUUCACCCACGCAGAACCAGGCAGAACCAGGCAGAACCAGGCACAACCAGCUUCACCUCAGCGUCCUCCACCCACGCAGAACCCCAUAGAACCAAGCAGACCCAGCUUCACCUCAGCGUCCUUCACCCACUCAGAACCAGGCAGAACCACGCAGAACCAGGCAGAACCACGCAGAACCACGCAGACCCAGCUUCACCUCAGCGUCCUUCACCCACGCAGAACCAGGCAGAACCACAGACGACCCAGCUUCGCCUCAGCGUCCUCCACCCACGCAGAACCAGGCAGAACCAGGCAGAACCACGCAGACCCAGCUUCACCUCAGCGUCCUUCACCCACGCAGAACCAGGCAGAACCAGGCAGAACCAGCUUCACUUCAGCGUCCUCCACCCACGCAGAACCCCAUAGAACCAAGCAGACCCAGCUUCACCUCAGCGUCCUCCACCCACGCAGAACCAGGCAGAACCACAGACGACCCAGCUUCGCCUCAGUGUCCUCCACCCACACAGAACCAGGCAGAACCAGGCAGAAC
rnacentral:lncRNA from 1 species